GGGAUGGGGAAAGGGUAACAGGCUUUGCUGCUGCCAAUAUUAUUCCAUUUUCAUUGGGACAAGGAAGCCUUUAUCGAAGCUACGUUAACUCAAUCAUCAAGGAAGGUGCAGGGAGAGAUGUUCCCGACUGCACAUCCCUCAGGCUGUCCAGGCACCCCUUCCUUGAGCACGGACAGCUUAAGUAUCAUUUCCAGCCCUUCCAUUCUGAUGACUCCUCAGGGCUGUCGCCAUUUCUAACUUACAGGGAGGAAGCAAUCCAGAUCCUGGUGUGCCUUUUUCAACAUAACUCUGAUCACUGGCUUCCGAUUUUUAAAUUUCUGGGUUCCUAGAAUGUUUAAAUAAAUCAGGAAAAUUUUACAAACUUCAGAAUACAGUGUCAAUGGUGAAAAUAUGGCCAAAUAAUAAGUAACACUACUUGAUGAAUUUUUAUAGAUAGUGCUCUUAUAGGUCAUUUUCAAGCCUUUUUGCAAAUAUUAUACCCAUCAGCUUCUGAGCAAAAAAAAAAAAAAAAAAAAAAAAAAAAAACAGAAUUUACUCAGUAGAUUCAAUAAGAAGAGUUUAAUGAAGCGACUACUUACAGAGGUUGUAGCGCAAACAAGGGGAAGCUGAGACAGCCAGAGAUUAGCAAGAGCAGAAAACCAUUACUGCCCCUAGAACCUAAGGGCUAAAAGAUGG
rnacentral:lncRNA from 9 species